rnacentral:rRNA from 1 species
AACGAACGCUGGCGACAUGCCUAACACAUGCAAGUCGAACGAGACCUUCGGGUCUAGUGGCGCACGGGGGCGUAACGCGGGGGAACCUGCCCUUAGGUUCGGAAUAACUCCCCGAAAGGGGUGCUAAUACCGGAUAAUGUCUUCGGACCAAAGAUUUAUCGCCUUUGGAUGGGCCCGCGUUGGAUUAGCUAGUUGGUAGGGUAAAAGCCUACCAAGGCGACGAUCCAUAGCUGGUCUGAGAGGAUGAUCAGCCACACUGGGACUGAGACACGGCCCAGACUCCUAUGGGAGGCAGCAGUGGGGAAUAUUGGACGAGGGGCGAAAGCCUGAUCCAGCAAUGCCGCGUGAGUGAUGAAGGCCUUAGGGUUGUAAAGCUCUUUUACCCGGGAUGAUAAUGACAGUACCGGGAGAAUAAGCUCCGGCUAACUCCGUG